AAAAAUAAGCGCCAGGACUCAUUGGAGUUGACGAGGACCAGAUUGAUCGAAAGAUUCGGCGGAUGAUCUGGAGGCUGGAUACGGUCUGUAGUAUAUGACAAAAACGAUUUGUGAAAAUCGAACAAAUUCAU
rnacentral:ncRNA from 1 species